AUGUUCCACCCUGCACCAUCUUCUUCAGUGCCACAAAUUGCUUCCCAGCUACAAACCACAUCUAAUCAGGCACUUGAGCUACCUCCCCCACUAGAUAUAAGCGUCAACGACUAUGUAAGUUCUUCCGACCCAGUGAGCCCACAACAGAACAAUGCAAACCCUAACUCAACAACUGGGUAUAAUUUGGUGGCCUCUCCACUUUUGGUCAACUCUCGCGGCAAUGAUUUGACCAUCAAUGACCCAUUUGGGUAUGAAUCAUGGGGUUAUGGCCUAUCGGAUCAACCAUUCUACAAUGGAUUUCUAGAGAUGGGUGCUUACAUGGGCUAUAAUGGUGUCGAUGUAGGACAAUCUUCUGUGGGAAAUGGUGGAUGGGUUGAUGCGCCACCGGAAUCUUCUUCUAGCUAG
rnacentral:rRNA from 1 species